ACAUGUGAAGCGGAGGGGGGUUGACAGAAGAGAGUGAGCACGCAACGGGGAAAAAUGGUGUCUUGCGGUGCUGUUUCCGUUGUGUGCUCACCUCUCUCCCUGUAAGCCUUGAGAAACGUUCGCCUCGGAGAAUGA
rnacentral:miRNA from 15 species